rnacentral:lncRNA from 1 species
UGGGGGGAAGGAGAGUCUUUUCCAUGCAUUUCCACAAUUUCCAAACACAAGCUUCAUAAGAACAAGACUUGUGUCUAUAUUGUUCAGCAUUAUAUCCAUAGUGGUAAUCAGUACCCAUUUGGUGAAAAUUCAAAUAAAAGAUGCCUUGCUGAACCUUGAACUAUUAAACUCACCACUUAAGGUACUGAUCCUUUUUGAAAAUUACUUUUUUUUUUUUUAAUGUCUUUUUAGGGCCUAUGCCAGAGCCACUGCAACGCCAGAUUCAAGCCGCGUCUGUGAACUACACCACAGCUCAUGGCAACACCAGGUCCUUAACCCACUGAGCAAGGCCAGGGAUCGAAUCCACAACCUCAUGGUUCCUGGUCGGAUUAGUUUCCACUGCACCACGAUGGGAAUUCCCUGAAGACUACAUUUUAAGGGAAACGAAAACAAGCUGGGCUGAUUACAAGAUGUCACUGAUGAUGAGAAUCUACAGGCAACUUGUCAUAUAUGGAACAGAAACAGAAAUAUUUUACCUGAAUAUAGAAACUCAAGAAAAAUGGGAGACUUCAACAAUUUGAAAGUCUGUUAUAUGAAAGAAGGAAUAGACUGAUUUUGUUGCUUCAGAGAAUAGGACCAGACCUAACAGAUGGAUGUUAUAGGGAAUCAGAAUUCAUGUCAAUAUCAGGAAGAAUUGCUGCCCAAUAUAUUCACUAGGAGCAGCACUGUUUGGGGGUGGUUUUUUUUUUUUUUUUCCAAAUUGGUGAAAUUGAAAUAAGCUCUAUCCCCUGAAAUAACUUAAAAAACAAAAAACCCUACAUCAGCACCUCCAACACUCCAACACAGGCAAAGCUGGCCAAGGGCUGCAUUUAUCAUCACCCAGCUCUGCAGGAUUUUUCAAAAUUUUUCAAGAAAAAUGAAGGAAGUUGGUUUUCAAAGAAAAAUAACAUUUAAAAAAAAAUCCAUUCAGUCACUUAUGAUGGAGCAUGAUGAUGUGAGAAAAAAGAAUCUAUACAUGCAUGUGUAACUGGGUCACCAUGCUGUAUAGUAGAAAAUCAACAGAACACUGUAAACCAGCUAUAAUGAAAAAAAUAAAAACCAUUAUAUGUAUAAAAAAUCCCUUCA